ensembl:snoRNA U3 Small nucleolar RNA U3
AAGACUGUACUUUCAGGGAUCAUUUCUAUAGUUUGUUACCAGAGUAGUUUCUCUGAACGUGUAGAGCACUAAAAUGCUA